rnacentral:rRNA from 1 species
AACGAACGCUGGCGGCAUGCUUAACACAUGCAAGUCGAACGAGACCUUCGGGUCUAGUGGCGCACGGGUGCGUAACGCGUGGGAAUCUGCCCUUAGGUACGGAAUAACUCAGAGAAAUUUGUGCUAAUACCGUAUGAUGUCGAAAGACCAAAGAUUUAUCGCCUAAGGAUGAGCCCGCGUAAGAUUAGCUUGUUGUUGAGGUAAAAGCUCACCAAGGCGACGAUCUUUAGCUGGUCUGAGAGGAUGAUCAGCCACACUGGGACUGAGACACGGCCCAGACUUCUACGGGAGGCAGCAGUGGGGAAUAUUGGACAAUGGGCGAAAGCCUGAUCCAGCAAUGCCGCGUGAGUGAUGAAGGCCUUAGGGUUGUAAAGCUCUUUUACCAGGGAUGAUAAUGACAGUACCUUGAGAAUAAGCACCGGCUAACUACGUGCCAGCAGCCGCCGCGG